GAUCGUUUGUCGCUGACAGAGUAGACCACCGAUUUUUGUUUUUUUGUUUCAGUUUCUUUGUCUUUAUUUUUUUGGUCUUAUAUAUCAUUCAAUUGUGGUCUUAUUUUUUUAUGAUUUUCUAUACUAUCAUUUGUAUGCAAUUAGUGAAAGAAUUAGUGAAAAUAGAUAAUUUGUUAGCUUUUACAUCACCAGCUUUAAGAAAUUUUAUAAAAAUGGUGUCUUCUUCAUCAUAUUUUUUUAAAUGAUUUAUUUAAAUUUUUGCAAAAACUGUAUGAAAUCAACUGUAAUACUCUAUUUGCACUUUGCUGGCCAAAAGAUUUGUAGACUAUUUGACUACUUUGGUCCUCUAAAUGAAGUUUUCGUGCCUCAUGAUUAUUAUAUUAGAUUGCAGGUUUGAGUUCAAAGGAUGGUAACUAAGAAUAUGAUGGAGCAAAAUUAACAUGUUUCCUUUGAGCACAUGUAUUAUUGUAAGACAUAGUAGUGGAAGUGGUGGAAGGUGAUGCUAGAAAUGUUCUCUGUGAUGCUGUGGAGAAGCACCAUGCUUCAAUAUUGGUUCUUGGUAGUCAUGGUUAUGGAGCUAUAAAAAGGGCGGUAUUAGGUAGUGUAAGGACUACUGUGCUCAUCAUGCUCAUUGCACUGUGAUGAUUGUGAAGAAGCCAAAAACCAAACACUGAUCUCAUUGGCUGCGCGCGUCUAAAUUGUCCUACAGCAAUCAGAAUAUAUAUAUUUUUAGCAAAAGGAAACAUGAAUGUUCUUUAAAGUUUUCACUAAGUUGUUUGUUCCAUGUCAUAUUGACUCUAUAGAAUAAGGUUCAUUUCACAUUUUAUUAUGUUUUAAAUACUAAAAUUAGAACAGGAUUUCUCCCUGUCCCAGCCAGUAGUCACCCUGGUACUUAUUUUGAUUAUGAUCAGAUUUUGUAAAUGUGACAGUUCUAUGCAUAAACGAAUAAGAAUCAUAUGUAUGCCAUGAUUUUGUUCAUUCCUUAA